AGUGAACGCUGGCGGUAGGCCUAACACAUGCAAGUCGAACGGCAGCACAGUAAGAGCUUGCUCCUACGGGUGGCGAGUGGCGGACGGGUGAGGAAUACAUCGGAAUCUACUUUUUCGUGGGGGAUAACGUAGGGAAAUUUACGCUAAUACCGCACACGACCUACGUGUGAAAGCAGGGGAUCUUCGGACCUUGCGCGAUUGAAUGAGCUGAUGUCGGAUUAGCUAGUUGGCGGGGUAAAGGCCCACCAAGGCGACGAUGCGUAGCUAGUCUGAGAGGAUGAUCAGCCACACUGGAACUGGGACACUAUCCAGACUCCUACGGAAGGCAGACGUAGGGAAUGUAGGACAAAGGGCGCAAUCCUGAUCCAGCGAUGCCGCGUGGGUGCAGAAGGCCUUCGGGUUGUAAAGCCUCUUUGUUGGGCAAGAAAAGCAGCAGGUUAGAACCCGGCUGUUCUGACGGUACCCAAAGAAUAAGCACCGGCUAACUACGUG
rnacentral:rRNA from 1 species